CAUGCCCAGAGCCUAAAGCGGAUGACACGUGCAACUGAUUGCCUGUUGCUCAGCUGCAGUUGAUUGAUUAACUAGGUUUGCCUGGUCCUGUUGUUGUUUGCUCUACUUGGCAGAAGUUUUUGAAGAAAAAACUUGGUAUUAAACACCUCGGUGCCCAGCAACCGUGGGAUAUGUUAUAAACCAAACAACUGGUAACAAAUAAUGAGAUUUAAUGUGGAGAGGUUCAGGAAAAAAAAGGAUCUCAAGCAUCUUUUCUGAGAGGAUCACUGAAAGCAGCAUGACAGCACGUUUAAAGUGGGCCUGGUCUGCAGAGCUAACAUGGCUAACGUUGCCCAAAUUGACUGACACUGAGGAGUAUAAAAGCAAAUUGAGGAGAACAGGUCAUGUGAAGGAUCUGCUGGGAUAUUUCCUGCCCGUUUCCUGACUCUGGACAUGUCUAAGUCAUGAAUGGAUGGCAGUGAUAACUUGGUGAUAAUACUGAUGCUGAAGGCGAUGGUAAACAGCCAAACUCAUGACCAUCAUAAACCUCAACAUCAUUAUCUGGGCAGAAGGAAAAAAAACAACAACUCAUGCACUGUUGUGCAACUGCACCUUUUGUGUUUUUCUAUGAAUGAAAAAAAAAGACUACGUUUCCCAAAGAUCUCUGGGCCCACUUGCAGAAUGAAUGUAAUUGUAACUGAAGUGUUUUGCCCCUUAACACUGAAUAUACAGUUUAAUCACAUCUAUCUUGUUUGAACCUGUGGUUGGCAAUAAAUCCUCUUAUAGCCUGUUCAUUUUUGGGCUCUUGGAGUUACAUUUAAGGUCACAUGGCUUUUGAUACAAUAGAUUUUAACCCCAAACAAAUAACUGUUUGAAGAACUGGAAACUACGACCAACUAUAAGUAGAGCUUUCACAAUCCUGAACUGACACAAAUGGCCAAGCACAGGUCCAAUAACACUUUUAUUGAUGUUUAUUUAUCCUUUGAAUGUUUUAAUAUUUUGUGUUUGUUUAUGUGAUGUGAGGUGGUAUGUAUUUAUGUUGUGGUUGAAUAAGCACAAACAUUUUUUUUUUUGUUUUCCUGAAGUCUUUUAGACUAGAUGGUUUAUUACCUUUAUUCACACUUUGAUAUUUUUGUUGACUGAGAGCUGUAUAUUCUACUUUAUGAAUGUUAAGUCAAAUUUUACUUAUGUGCAAAUUGUAUAUGCGUAACAGUAAACAGCAGGUUUGGAGUCAAUUUGGUUUGCAACAGCUAUUUGCAUAAUUAAAAAGCCUUAAUUGCAAUCAUUUCUGACAGAUUUAUGAUUAUGAAACCCUGCUCACAGGAAAGAAAAUCCACUUUCCAAGUUUAAUUGAAAAUAAGCUGGAUUGGAAGUUGGUUGUCCUCAAACCUUUCUGAUGUACUGCCACUGCUUCUUUAAAGGCUUUUGCUUUCUGCUGCACAGUGAAAGAAUGAAUGUUCCGCUAUGUUUAAUGCUUACAUUUGCUACCACUUAUAUACAUUUCUUGACACUGUAAUUUACCUGAGCACAGAGCUACAAUGUACAAGUACUAGUGAAUAUUAAACCAUAGAUUUCAUCUUGAAUAUUAUCAGGUUUUGUAAGAUAGGCUGACUUAUUAGAAUAAAUGGACAAAAUGA